rnacentral:rRNA from 1 species
GGCCAGCAGCCGCGGUAAUACGUAGGUGGCAAGCGUUGUCCGGAUUUAUUGGGUUUAAAGGGUGCGUAGGCGGUCGUAUAAGUCAGUGCUGAAAUAUCCCGGCUUAACCGGGAGGGUGGCAUUGAUACUGUACGACUUGAGUAAAGUUGAGGUUGGCGGAAUUGACGGUGUAGCGGUGAAAUGCUUAGAUAUCGUCAAGAACACCUAUUGCGAAGGCAGCUAACUAAGCUUUAACUGACGCUGAGGCACGAAAGUGUGGGGAUCAAACAGGAUUAGAUACCCUGGUAGUCCACACUGUAAACGUUGAUGACUCGCUGUGUGCGAUAUACAGUACGCGGCUUAGCGAAAGCGAUAAGUCAUCCACCUGGGGAGUACGCCGGCAACGGUGAAACUCAAAGGAAUUGACGGGGGCCCGCACAAGC